AGAAUCAACGCUGGCGGCGUGCCUAACACAUGCAAGUCGAACGAGAAAGUGGAGCAAUCCAUGAGUAAAGUGGCGACCGGGUGAGUAACACGUGACUAACCUACCUUCGAGUGGGGGAUAACAUCGGGAAACCGAUGCUAAUACCGCAUAACAUCGCAAGAUCAAAGCAGCAAUGCGCUGGAAGAGGGGGUCGCGGCUGAUUAGCUAGUUGGCGGGUAACGGCCCACCAAGGCGAAGAUCGGUAGCCGGCCUGAGAGGGCGCACGGCCACACUGGAACUGAAACACGGUCCAGACUCCUACGGGAGGCAGCAGUGGGGAAUUUUGCGCAAUGGGGGAAACCCUGACGCAGCAACGCCGCGUGGAGGAUGAAGCCCCGUUGGGGUGUAAACUCCUUUCGACCAAGACGAUAAUGACGGUACUGGUGGAAGAAGCACCGGCUAACUCUGCGCCAGCAGCCGC
rnacentral:rRNA from 1 species